ACUAUUAUUUACAAUGAACCCUUUAUUUUUACUGAAUAUUUCUAUAAAGUUAUAGAACCUUUUAUGUUGAAACUAGUAACAAGAAGUUAAACUUCUCCUCAAUAUAAGUAUAAGUCGACUAGGAUAAACCAUCGACAAUUAACGCUUAAAUUAAAUGUAUUAACUCCACAAGAAAAACUUACAUUACCCCACGUUAAUCUUACACCAGAACAUUUAAGGAAAGAUUUAAAAAAAAGGAAGGAACUCGGCAAACAUUAACCCCGCCUGUUUACCAAAAACAUCGCCUUCUGAUAUAUUAUAGAAGGUCCAGCCUGCCCAGUGAAUUAAUUUAACGGCCGCGGUAUCCUAACCGUGCGAAGGUAGCGUAAUCACUUGUUCUUUAAAUGAGGACUAGUAUGAAUGGCACCACGAAGGUUAUACUGUCUCCCUUUUUUGAUCAGUUAAACUAAUCUUCACGUGAAGAAGCGUGAAUAAACAUAUAAGACGAGAAGACCCUAUGGAGCUUAAAAUUACACAACAAUUGUUAAAAAAAUCCUAAAUUUUAUAAAUAAUUUUUUACUAAACACCAUGAUUGCUAAUUUUUGGUUGGGGUGACCGCGGAGUAAAAAUUAACCUCCACAAUGAAAGAAAUCAAUAUUCUAAACUAAGAGCUACAACUCAAAGUAUUAAUAUUUUAACAUUCUUUGAUCCAAUAUUUGAUCAACGAACAAAGUUACCCUAGGGAUAACAGCGCAAUCUACUUUGAGAGCUCCUAUCGACAAGUAGGUUUACGACCUCGAUGUUGGAUCAGGGUAUCCUAGUGGUGCAGCCGCUACUAAUGGUUC
rnacentral:rRNA from 1 species